AGAACUUACUGAAGAAAUUUUUGACAUGAGCCUUAAUGAAACUCGGGACAAUGCUCCAGUAAUAUUAGUCUUGAUUAAACAUGGUGAAUGUUGAAGGCAAAAAGCAGCAGAGGAUGCAAUACAAGAAGGUUGGCAAAAAAGCAGUAGAGGAUGCAAUGCAAUAAGACGAAAGAGAGCUAAUUGAAAAACUUUUGUUUGGAACAAAGUGAUACAUGUGAUGAAGAACAAAGUUUACGUAUUGCUUGAUGUGAUUUCAUAUUUACUUAUAUACAAAACUUUAGUAUACGUUACAAAUUAAUUGAUGUGUAAAACGUAAAUUACAUUGAGUUAUAUCAAACAAUGAGUUAGUUGUAAUUCGAUAUCAAACUUGCAAUAAACGAGAAUCAAAUUUAAAAA